rnacentral:rRNA from 1 species
AGUCGAACGCACCUUUCGGGGUGAGUGGCGGACGGGUGAGUAACGCGUGAGAAUCUACCAAAAGGACCGGGACAACCACUGGAAACGGUGGCUAAUACCGGAUGAGCCGCAACGUAAAAAGGGAAACCUGCCUUUUGAAGAGCUCGCGUCUGAUUAGCUAGUUGGUGAGGUAAGAGCUCACCAAGGCAGCGAUCAGUAGCUGGUCUGAGAGGAUGACCAGCCACACUGGGACUGAGACACGGCCCAGACUCCUACGGGAGGCAGCAGUGGGGAAUUUUCCGCAAUGGGCGAAAGCCUGACGGAGCAAGACCGCGUGAGGGAAGAAGGCUCUUGGGUCGUAAACCUCUUUUAUCAGGGAAGAAAAAAAUGACGGUACCUGAAGAAUCAGCCUCGGCUAACUCCGUGCCAGCAGCCGCGGUAAUACGGAGGAGGCAAGCGUUAUCCGGAAUUAUUGGGCGUAAAGCGUCCGCAGGUGGCUUAUCAAGUCUGCUGUCAAAGAGUGGGGCUUAACCCCAUAAAGGCAGUGGAAACUGAGAAGCUAGAGUGCCGUAGGGGUAGAGGGAAUUCCCGGUGUAGCGGUGAAAUGCGUAGAGAUCGGGAAGAACAUCGGUGGCGAAAGCGCUCUACUGGACGGCAACUGACACUCAGGGACGAAAGCUAGGGGAGCGAAUGGGAUUAGAUACCCCAGUAGUCCUA